GACGAACGCUGGCGGCGUGCUUAACACAUGCAAGUCGAACGGAAAGGCCCUGCUUUUGUGGGGUGCUCGAGUGGCGAACGGGUGAGUAACACGUGAGUAACCUGCCCUUGACUUUGGGAUAACUUCAGGAAACUGGGGCUAAUACCGGAUAGGAGCUCCUGCUGCAUGGUGGGGGUUGGAAAGUUUCGGCGGUUGGGGAUGGACUCGCGGCUUAUCAGCUUGUUGGUGGGGUAGUGGCUUACCAAGGCUUUGACGGGUAGCCGGCCUGAGAGGGUGACCGGCCACAUUGGGACUGAGGUACGGCCCAGACUCCUACGGGAGGCAACGGUGGGGAAUAUUGCACAAUGGGCGGAAGCCUGAUGCAGCGACGCCGCGUGCGGGAAGACGGCCUUCGGGUUGUAAACCGCUUUCGCCUGUGACGAAGCGUGAGUGACGGUAAUGGGUAAAGAAGCACCGGCUAACUACGUG
rnacentral:rRNA from 1 species